rnacentral:rRNA from 1 species
UACGUAGGGUACGAGCGUUGCCCGGAUUUAUUGGGCGUAAAGGGCGCGUAGGCGGUCACGCACGUCCGUUGUGAAAUCGCUCGGCUCAACUGGGCGGGGUCAGCGGAUACGGCGUGGCUGGAGCAAGCUAGGGGGCAAUGGAAUUCCCGGUGUAGUGGUGGAAUGCGUAGAUAUCGGGAGGAACACCAGUGGCGAAGGCGGUUGCCUGGAGCUUUGCUGACGCUGAUGCGCGAAAGCGUGGGGAGCGAUCCGG